ensembl:lncRNA
CUUUCGUUUUCCACCCACAUACAGGCCUCCACCACUGCUGCUUUCUGUGUCAUCAGAAAGCAGCAGUGGUGCUUCAAGUCUUAGUAUAGAAAAAAAAUGCCCCUCCCCCCUCCCGAAAAACAAAAACAAAACAAAAACAAAAACAAGGGUUCAGAUCCUUUCCCGAGACAUGUUGGAUUUUAAACCAUCCUAAAACACACAUGACAGUCAAACCGCUUUGAAUGACUUCGUGACAGCCACCUUUCCUCUGAGACCAUUUCUAAUGAGGCUUCAGAGAAAAGUUUGCUCAUCUUCACUGAGUUCCACGGGAGGGAGAGAGAGAGAGAGAGAGAGAGAGAGAGAGAUCCUUGUUAUCUACCCAGCGCUCACAAAGACAGUAAUUACACAAAAGGCCAUUCAAUAAAGGAGGCCAUGCACCUACACGGGUAGUUACGAAAAAAAAAGAAAGAAAGCAGAAUCGUUAAUUAAAUGAUUUAAACCUUGACUCAAGGCCACCGCACUGAGACCGGCCGCAAAAAGAGAGAUGAGAGACGUCCCUCGGCUGAAUCCUCUGAUCAACACCGGAGGGACACAACAGUCAAAAUAAGUGAAUAAAUA